GAUGGGCGCCUGACGGUGGCACCGCGUCCGCGCGUUGGUAGGGUCUUGGACGACCCACCACGGAAAGAUUAGCUGGUUGAUCCUGCCAAUCUGCUUGUCUCAAAGAUUAAGCCAUGCACGGCCCGCGCUGAACAUCAUGCCUGUGAACACAUGCCUGAACACAUAACAGUGCUUGGAAUAAUAUAACGAGAUCCUGUUUCUGUUCUGUUGGUUUUUGGAAUACAGGAUAAUUAUUAAGAGGGACAGACGGGGGCAUUCGUAUUGCGGUGCUAGAGGUGAAAAUCUUGGACCGUCGCAAGACGAACUACAGCGAAAGCAUUUGCCAAGAAUGUUUUCAUUGGUCACAAACGAAAGUUAGAGGUUCGAAGACGAUCAGAUACCGCCCUAGCUCUAACCAUAAACGAUGCCAACCAGCAAUCCACCUGAGUUACUCAAAUGAAUUGGCAUGCAGCUUCCGGGAAGCCAAAGUAUUUGGGU
rnacentral:rRNA from 1 species